rnacentral:rRNA from 1 species
UGUGUAGGCGGGCUGUUAAGUCAGUGGUGAAAUCUCCAGGCUCAACCUGGAAACUGCCAUUGAUACUAUCAGUCUUGAAUUUUGUUGAGGUAGGCGGAAUAUGUCAUGUAGCGGUGAAAUGCUUAGAUAUGACAUAGAACACCGAUUGCGAAGGCAGCUUACUAAACAAAUAUUGACGCUGAGGCACGAAAGCGUGGGGAUCAAACAGGAUUAGAUACCCUGGUAGUCCACGCCCUAAACGAUGAUUACUCGACAUACGCGAUAUUACUGUGUGUGUCUGAGCGAAAGCAUUAAGUAAUCCACCUGGGAAGUACGUCCGCAAGGAUGAA